GGGGUUGUGGCUCAGUGGUAGAGCACUUGCCUUGCAUGCAUGGGACACUGGGUUUUAUCCUUAGCACCA
rnacentral:tRNA from 1 species